rnacentral:rRNA from 1 species
GGCAGACGGGUGAGUAAUGUAUAGGAAUCUACCUAGUAGUACGGAAUAAUUGUUGGAAACGGCAACUAAUACCGUAUACGCCCUACGGGGGAAAAAUUUAUUGCUAUUAGAUGAGCCUAUAUUAGAUUAGUUAGUUGGUGAGGUAAAGGCUUACCAAGACAAUGAUCUAUAGCUGAUCUGAGAGGAUGAUCAGCCACACUGGAACUGAGAUACGGUCCAGACUCCUACGGGAGGCAGCAGUGGGGAAUAUUGGACAAUGGGCGCAAGCCUGAUCCAGCCAUGCCGCGUGAGUGAAGAAGGCCUUAGGGUUGUAAAGCUCUUUCACCGGUGAAGAUAAUGACGGUAGCCGGAGAAGAAGCCCCGGCUAACUUCGUGCCAGCAGCCGCGGUAAUACGAAGGGGGCUAGCGUUGUUCGGAUUUACUGGGCGUAAAGCGCGCGUAGGCGGAUAGAUAAGUCAGAGGUGAAAUCCCGGGGCUCAACCCCGGAAUUGCCUUUGAUACUGUUUAUCUUGAGUGCAGAAGAGGUAAGUGGAAUUCCGAGUGUAGAGGUGAAAUUCGUAGAUAUUCGGAGGAACACCAGUGGCGAAGGCGGCUUACUGGUCUGCAACUGACGCUGAGGCGCGAAAGCGUGGGGAGCAAACAGGAUUAGAUACCCUGGUAGUCCACGCUGUAAACGAUGGAAGCCAGCCGUCGGCAAAUUUAUUUGUCGGUGGCGCAGCUAACGCAUUAAGCUUCCCGCCUGGGGAGUACGGUCGCAAGAUUAAAACUCAA